rnacentral:rRNA from 1 species
GACGAACGCUGGCGGCGUGCUUAACACAUGCAAGUCGAGCGGAGCGGCGAACGGGUGAGUAACGCGUGAGUAACUGCCCCCCUCCCUGGGAUAACAGUUGGAAACGGCUGCUAAUACCGGAUAGUGGGGGAUGACUCGCGUCCUAUGAGGUUGUUGGUGGGGUAGUGGCCUACCAAGGCGACGACGGGUAGCCGGCCUGAGAGGGGGACCGGCCACAUGGGGCUGGGGUACGGCCCAAACUCCUACGGGGGGCAGGAGUGGGGAGUAUUGCACAAUGGGGGAAACCCUGAGACAGAAACGCCGCGUGCGGAAUGACGGCCUUCGGGUUGUAAACCGCUUUCAGCCAUGACGCGGUAGUGGCAGAAGAAGCACCGGCUAACUACGUUCCAGCAGCCGCGGUAAUAC